GACGAACGCUGGCGGCGUGCUUAACACAUGCAAGUCGUGCGGUAAGGCCCUUUCGGGGGUACACGAGCGGCGAACGGGUGAGUAACACGUGAGCAACCUGCCCUUCACUUUGGGAUAACUGCCGGAAACGGUGGCUAAUACCGGAUAUGACUUCCUCACGCAUGUGGGGUGGUGGAAAGCCUUCGGGUGGUGGGGGAUGGGCUCGCGGUCUAUCAGCUUGUUGGUGGGGUGAUGGCCUACCAAGGCUUCGACGGGUAGCCGGCAUGAGAGGGUGACCGGCCACACUGGGACUGAGACACGGACCAGACUCCUACGGGAGGCAGCAGUGGGGAAUAUUGGACAAUGGGAGAAAGCCUGAUCAAGAAACGCCGCGUGAGGGAUGACGGCCUUCGGGUUGUAAACCUCUUUCGCCUGCGACGAAGCGAGAGUGACGGUAGCAGGUAAAGAAGCACCGGCCAACUACGUG
rnacentral:rRNA from 1 species